rnacentral:snRNA from 1 species
GAUUAUUGAGCACAAAUCGAACUAUUCUUUUGCCUUUUACUAAAGUAUAUCGCGUGCGUCAGUUGUGGAGCUAGAAUUUUUAAUAAGGAGUUUCAAAAUUUGUA